rnacentral:lncRNA from 1 species
CUGAACGACAGCAUGAAAGGAAGCAUUCAGUUUCCAUUAGCAUGCCACCCUCUCCUUUGGCAGCUCACUCACUAGGCCAAAAAAGAGUUGUCUUCAGUGAUAAUAAUGAGAUUAUAUUCAGAAAUAUUGACACUUCCGAUUUUGCUGCUACAUCAACUGAUGCUGGUACCAGACAUAAUAAAAAGGUCAAGUUUUAUUCUCAGCCAAUGACAAGAAAUACUGCAUUUCCUGAGCCUCCUGCUAUUGGGAAACUUCCCAGUUAUUCAGACUUUCCAUCAAUGAAUCCCAAGAUUAUUAAGAAAAGGGAUCCAAGGUUCAACUCUUUCAAAACAUGGUCUGGUAAACUUGAGAGACAAUUAACAAAUUUGCGUGGAAAGAACCAGGAAGCACAGCAAGAGUCGAAUACUGCAGAGAGAGAAAAUAUCCCUGUACAUCGAUACUUUGAUGCGUUGGAGGGACCAGAAUUGGACACUCUACGGGUAAGCUUUUCUCCUUGGUUUCGCCCACCCAUUUUAGUGGUCUGCUGAAAUUUGCUUCAGAUGAAGAUAUCUUUAAAGAUUACUAGCAUGUGAGAUCAUGAAUGUAUCAAUGCAUUUGCAGUUUUGAUCUUUCAAGUAACCAUUGCUAAAGAAAAUGAAAAAAAUGAAAAGCAUUUUGAGGGUCUGUUACAUGCCGUAUUGAUAUUGUGCACCCGUUUGUACAUGACGUUCAUCACUUGGUUGAAUGAAUGCAACCUGCAUUGAUAUUAAAGGAUGAACUUAUCCUCAGCUAUAAGUAGUUUAUUUUGUGAUGGUAUGUUUCUUCAUCUAAAGUAAGAGCAAAUCCAUGUAUCUGUAUGUCUUUUUUGAUUUUAAAGCCAAGAAGUUACAUGCCUAAAAUGGAACUUGAGUUCAUAUUGCUUAAAAGAUACUAAUUUUUGUUGCACUGAUGCUUUUGAGAUACACAUUUCUGCACUUCUACACAUGAAAUGUCUUUUAUUUCUUUCCUUUUUAGUUCGAAAACACAAAUAUUCUGAAUCGAGAUGGUAAUGUUGGUAACACAUGUUUCUUUCCUGUACAGGCUUCUGAGCAAAGUAUUCUUCCAGAGGACAGGAAAUGGCCAUUUCUUCUUCGAUUCCCUAUUUCUUCCUUCGGUAUCUGUCUUGGUGUUAGUAGCCAAGCUAUUAUGUGGAAAGCUCUGGCCACUUCUCCCUCAACAAAAUUCCUCCACAUAAGCUUGAACAUGAAUCUUGUCCUUUGGUGCAUAUCUGUGGCCCUUAUGGCCAUUGUUGCUUUCAUUUACGCUCUGAAAAUCAUUUUCUACUUCGAAGCAGUUCGUCGGGAAUACUAUCACCCGAUACGUGUUAACUUCUUCUUUGCUCCCUGGAUAGCACUUCUAUUCUUAGCACUAGGAGUUCCACCAUCAGUUACGAAAAACCUGCACACAUCUCUGUGGUACAUUCUUAUGACCCCAAUCUUUUGCUUAGAGCUGAAGAUCUAUGGACAAUGGAUGUCUGGAGGACAGCGAAGGCUGUCAAAGGUUGCCAGUCCCGUAAAUCAUCUCUCUGUCGUUGGAAAUUUCGUCGGUGCUUUGCUUGGUGCAACCAUGGGACUAAAAGAAGGCCCAAUAUUCUUCUAUGCUGUUGGAUUGGCUCAUUAUUUGGUCCUAUUUGUAACUCUUUACCAAAGACUUCCAACAAAUGAGACGCUGCCAAAGGAGCUUCACCCGGUCUUCUUUCUAUUUGUUGCUGCACCUAGUGUUGCUUCUAUGGCAUGGGCAGCAAUCCAAGGAUCCUUUGAUUAUGGAUCUCGGAUUUCUUAUUUCAUUGCCCUCUUCCUUUAUUUUUCACUGGUAAGUCAUUAUGCUAGGCAGAUUUAGCAUUCAAAUACAUCAUUAACCAUUCUAGUCAGCUAGGAGUAGAACAACAUCUCUAAUUAUUUCUGAAAGGUUUAUUGACAGUUUCUUUGUCAAGGUUCUUAUGAGUAGUUACAAGCUAUACUAUUCGUGAGAAUGCAGUUCAGAAGGUUCAAUGUUUAUUUUUCUUUCUAUGGUCCUUUGAUGCUUUCUAUCUCUUAAGAGUCAGUCUAUCUAUUUCACAUUUUCAGUUCUAUAAUAUUAAGUUCUUCAAACUAUUAGCAACGUGAUUAGGUAAUAUGAGGCUUAUUGAACUCUUCAACAUGGUUUCUCUGUCUAUCGUAAUGCAGCUAAUGACGUUGAAGUAUAUAUUUUAUAAUCUAGUAAAGUUUUAGGCUACUGUAGAAUUCAUACUUCAUACAAGGAGGGUUGUGCUGUCACUAGCAAUAGAAAAUUGAAGAUACAAGAUUUGAUAUCAAGUUUCUGAGCUUAAGGAGAAUCAUAUUGCUCACUUUAGUUAUCAAAAUACUUGAUGUUCAAGUGUUAGGCUAAUCCUUUAUUCUUGUCCCUUUACAGGCUGUUCGUAUUAAUUUCUUCCGAGGCUUCAGGUAUGAGUAAUUUGCCUUUGUCCUGAAAUCUCUUAUUCCUCUUCACCUUUGGCUUAAUGUGAAAUGCUUGUCUCAUUUGUUAACUUCAGGUUUUCAUUGGCGUGGUGGGCGUAUACUUUCCCCAUGACCGGAGCUGCUAUUGCCACUGUCAGGUACUCAACAGCCAUUACCAACACAGCGACAAAGUGUCUAGCAGUCAUACUUUGCUCUCUUGCUACACUCACAGUAACAGCACUGCUUGUGACAACUAUCAUCUAUGCCUUUGUUCUGAGAGACCUCUUCCCAAAUGAUAUUUCAAUUGCAAUUAGUGAAAGAAGGCAUAAAACAACUGGAUUAUGGCAUCUUAGAAGAUUUGGCAGCUCAGAUGCCAAUGAUAUUGAGCAAUAUCUUAAAUUUGUAGAUUCUUCAGAUGCAAAAGACAUUGAGGCUUCUCUUACACAUCCAAACUCUAGUACCAUAGAGUUGAGCACCUCUGCCCCAAAUGAAGUCCGUCAACAAUGAUGUAUGCAGUUCCACGACCUUUUUGUUCUUGAAACUUUUCGUAAAAUUCUUUAGUUUUAAUCAAGUGAGGAACACCAAGAAUUUGGCUGUUCCUGUGAACUUGAUGGAGAAAAAUAAAAGUGAAGGUUCUUGUAAUGAGGUACAAACUCUAUAGAGAUGUAAAUGUUCGAGGGUGUUUCCAAAUUUCAACUUUUUCCAUUUGUGUAAACCGCAGAGAUGAGUGUACGUAAUGUUUUUGAAGGUCCUUUUAUCUGUCAACGUUAGUCCAUAGUUGUCUUGUGAAUUUUGAUGGUUUGCAGGAAAUAGUUACAUGACAUUUUCAUCGUUGAGUUUACUAGGUGUCAAAUUCGGGGACAUAAUCAUUUAUUUUGGUGCCAAACCAAACUUCACUUUCAUGCAAUGAAAGAUUAUUGCGCAUGUAUUAGCUUGCUUUACUUGCAGGCGAAGGUUACUUGCCAUAUUGGCUCAUUGAACAAAUAAGAGUACCUUGUGUUAGAAUGAAAAAUUCUAUUGGGUCUAAUCUUUUGCGCUCUAUUACUAUAUAAUUUAUACAUGAGUUUUUUAUUUAGGCAGAUCACCAAAUGUGCCAUCCAUUUUAGUUUUGUAAACCUGUUCGAUUAUACAUGAAGUUUAAGGAAGAAAUAAAUAUUCUUAGAACUUGUGAUCUUAUAUAUGCCAUGAGAUUUAUGUGGCUAUUAUAUUACGUUAUUAAAAAUAAAAUAAGAAAUUUAAAGUUAAAUUGGCUCUAAAUGUAAGAAAUUAUUAUUCCUUUGGGAACAAAAUGAAUCGACACCAAAGUUAUGUGAAGAUAUAACAUCACUAUAAAAAAUAGGAUUAUUCCGGUGGUUAAAUUACGGUGGUUGGUUGAAAGAAACCGCCGCAAAAUGGAACACAAUACGGCGGCAUUCCAGAUGCCUGUCGCUCCCAAACGCACAUGCAAGUAUAGGCGGUCGUACAAGUAAUAUAAUGAUAAGAAGAGUGUCGAACCCACAGAGACUUGUGUUAACUACCUCCUAAUUUCACUAAAAUUAAUAUUCAUUCGAGUCAAUCAGAGUUAUCUGAGAAUAGAGAACAGACCAGAAAGAUAUCAAAGGACUUGUCUUACAUCCCUAGACCCAAAUUCACACACACAUAUAUAUAUGAUAGCAACUUUUAGUAAUAGCAACAAACAAAAUCCAAAAAACAAACAUAUUGCCUGACCUUCUUGUAUGAUUUGCGAUAUUCAUACCAAACUCUAUGUAAAGAAUAAAAUCUAUCUAGCAAAGAAUGAGAACAACAGAAAGAAAAAGAAUUCCUCAAGAAGAAUACAAGAGAUUAUAUUUAAUCUGAUAUUAAAGAAAAAUCUACGAUAAUAUUUAAAGGACCGGAAACAUGAAUUGAAAAACGCAAAUGAAGCACACAAGCAGCUGUGCAAAAAAUGAGUUUGAAUCAAAUCUUGAUUCUUGCAAGCUAAAACAUUUAUUACUUAGAGAAACUAAAACAUAGAUUAACAUAAUCUAAGUAGAACGAAGGGGUGAGGGAAGGGGGCGGAUAGGGGAUGGAUUUAACAAAAAGGAGGGUUGGGGAAGAAGAGAAAAGUGAGUGACGUACCUUUUCCGACGAGCAGCGGUUGUCGACGGCUGGGUGGUGGUGGUGGGGGGGAGGGGGUUCUGGG